CUUUCUUUUUUUCCUGCUCAUUUCACUUUGAUUUUGUCUUCUUUUUCUAUUCAAAUUCAAAACUCAAAUAAAAAAAAUAUUGAAAUCAUUCUUCAAUCACCCCGUAUCACGCCUCUUCCUCCUCUAAUUUCUCCUUCGGUUUUGGAAACCAAAUCUCCAUUAUAUACGCCAAACCAUAGCUAGCUAUAUCAAUGCUGCCAUCUUCUUUUGAAAUCUUCAUUUUUUUCUCCAAUCACCACAAGCUUAAGGAGUAGGGUUUUUUAAUCGAACCUUAAUCCCUACCAUGAAUAACAUCAAAUUGAUGGCACAGUACUGAUAUGGUGAUAUGGGGGUAAAUAUUUUGAUGGAGUUCGUCGGAAAAUGAAGUUUUCACAUGGUGACAAUUCCUUAUGAAGCACUUGGAUAGCUGAAUUCAUACCCCAUUGGUUGUCUAAGAGGGGCAUCUUAUCGUAGAGUAGGAAAUCAACAAUACUUAAUGAUAGAGGAGUUACCUGCGUAGGAAUUCGCCAGGUGAUCAACAUCAACACCAAUUUUAGACAAAAUAGAUUGGAGAUAGUUUGAAGAUUUCAAACCAUUCUAUGAUGAAAAGUCCAUAUACGAGGAGGCUUUGAGCAGGGGCAGAUUCGUCAAUCCAGGAGGAGAAGCCCUAUAGAUUAGAAUAUCCAAAUAUAGAGCAUCUACACAAUCUACCACACCCUCAAUGCAGCAAAGCAGUAAAUAGGUGCGAUGGUACCACAGAUCCUUUGACGGGGGUAUUUUGUUCCAGAUUUCCAUCAGCUACAGAGCCAUGAUUCCUAACACCAGAUUGUUAGUAUAACUAUUUGCAUUCUUCUUUUGGUUACUUAAAUUGAUCAGCAGUUCAUUGUUGACGGUUUAGGGGAGUUUGGCUGGACUGUCAAGCAACAUCCAUCUUCUUGAUGUGUCAUGGAGUAAAGUGUUGCAUAUGAGGAAUUUACAUCUUUAAUUGUGAGACUUAUGAGGCUUUGAAACCGUAUGUUCCUCAUCUAUGACAUAUCCAAAGACUUCACAUCAUACAAGGUCCAAGUUCCUGGUGUUAUUAUUUUGGAUCAAACAUAUGAAAGGUAAUGUUUCUUUUCUUUUCUUUUGAGCCACCCAUGUUUCUGAUCCUUAAUAUCCAUCGAAAAAGAACAAAGAUGAGGAAGACACACUUGUGCUAUCACAGGAGUAGAUAUAAAUGUAAUUUUUUCUUAAUUAGAGUAUAUUUCCCUCAAAAUAAAUUUAUUAAAAUAGUCUAAACAAAUCAACGCCUAAACAAAGAAGUGGAAUAAUUAAAAUACAUUAUAUAUUUAAAUGAGGGGCAUAAUUGUCAGCAAACUAUAAAAAUAUGUGGAUGCAUAAAAAAAAAUGAUUGGCUCAAAAUAUGUUUUAUUAUUAUUUUUAAUAUUUUUAUGUUAUAUUUUUUAAGAAUAAGAAGCGAUGUUCAUAAUGCCAAAUUUAUAAUGACACUAGAUGGAAAAACAGAAACAAAUGAAAUUCUGUUUUAGCUUCAUCUACAUGUUGCCGAAUAAAUUCAUUAGAUAUGGUAGUUAAUUUCCCUCCAUCAUUCAAUUUAAUGGAUUUUUAUGCGUAGGUUAAUAUGGUUGACAUAAUCAAGUUGUAUUAGUUGAAAAUUCUUGAAUUACCAUGGUCCAUGAAGUUUGCUAAUCCCUCCAAGAACCAUCAAUAUCAGUUUCUGUAAAUAAGAAGGAACAAGGGUCAAAGAAUAACAAAUUGAGAUUGCAGGUUUUCUGAUUUUUUUUGGAGCAUACCAUUGUUUUCUGAUUUGAAGUGUCAAAAUCAUAAGUUUUGAUAUCUUCUCUUGGUAAUUUGAAGUGUGGAAAAUCCAGAACCAAGAAGAAAUCUACAAAUCUCAAUUCGCAUAUAAGGGCCGGCCCAAGCCCAGGGCGAGCUGGGCCAAGGCCCAGGGCAACAUAAUUUGAUGGGGCAUCAUAUUUGAUAUGGGUGUUAUGUGUAUUCAUAUGGGCCAAAGCUUUUAAUCCAACAACUAAAACAUAAGUUUCCAGUCCAUAUGAAAAGAGGCAGCAGAGUCUCCCACACCUAAGCAACAUUCGGCGACAAUUGAAUAUUGAUUUUGGAAUUUGGCAUGCACGAUGCACGCUUUCGACUCCUCGGUCUCCAAGGAAGCAUCGGCACACCUAAUAAUUGAAGACGAGAAGACGAGGCAACCGAGGUUAUGAUUGAAUCGAUCCUCACUGAUGAUCUCACUAUCUCAACUUCUAAUAAACUUAUGGUUCCCUUAAUUUCUUUCUGAGAUUUUGAUUGUGAAUUUAUGAUUGAAUCGGUCCUCCUAAUCAUCUAUUAUCCUUAAUCUCAUUGUUUUCUCUUGACUUUUAAAUUUCAUUGUUUUCGCAUAAAGUGAACUUUUCAAGUUUCAAAGGGCUAUGCUGAAGUUUCAAAGGAUAUAGAGUGCAAUUCGAACUCUUGAUCAUAUAACUAAGUGAAUGAUUUGAUUUGAA